rnacentral:rRNA from 1 species
AGAGUUUGAUCCUGGCUCAGGAUCAACGCUGGCGGCGUGCCUAAUGCAUGCAAGUCGAACGGGGUUCACUUCGGUGGGCUCACGUGGCGGACGGGUGAGGAACGCGUGGCCAACCUGCCCUUUGGUGGGGGAUAACCGCUGGAAACAGUGGGUAAUACCGCAUGAGACCGAUUGCCGAGUGGGGUGAUUGGGGAAAGCCGUAAGGCGCCGAAGGAGGGGGCUGCGUCCGAUUAGUUAGACGGUGGGGUAACGGCCUACCGUGGCAGUGAUCGGUAGCUGGUUUGAGAGGAUGAUCAGCCACACGGGGACUGAGACACGGCCCCGACUCCUACGGGAGGCAGCAGCAAGGAAUUUUCCGCAAUGGGCGCAAGCCUGACGGAGCAACGCCGCGUGUGGGAUGACGCUUUUCGGAGUGUAAACCACUGUUCAUGGGGACGAAGCACUGACGGUACCCAUGGAGGAAGGCCCGGCUAACUACGUGCCAGCAGCCGCGGUAAUACGUAGGGGUCGAGCGUUGUCCGGAGUUACUGGGCGUAAAGCGCAUGCAGGCGGCUCAUUACGCAUGGCGUGAAAGCCCCCGGCUCAACCGGGGAGGGUCGUCGUGAACGGGUGAGCUUGAGGGUAUCAGGGGCUGGUAGAAUUCCCGGUGUAGUGGUGAAAUGCGUAGAGAUCGGGAGGAAUACCUGUGGCGAAGGCGGCCAGCUGGGAUACACCUGACGCUGAGAUGCGAAGGCGUGGGGAGCGAACGGGAUUAGAUACCCCGGUAGUCCACGCAGUAAACGAUGCAGACUAGGCGUGGGAGGACUUGACCCCUUCCGUGCCGGAGCUAACGCACUAAGUCUGCCGCCUGGGGAGUACGGCCGCAAGGCUAAAACUCAAAGGAAUUGACGGGGGCCC